UGGGGAAUUUUGGACAAUGGGCGAAAGCCUGAUCCAGCAAUGCCGCGUGUGUGAAGAAGGCCUUCGGGUUGUAAAGCACUUUUGUCCGGAAAGAAAUCCUUGGCUCUAAUACAGUCGGGGGAUGACGGUACCGGAAGAAUAAGCACCGGCUAACUACGUGCCAGCAGCCGCGGUAAUACGUAGGGUGCAAGCGUUAAUCGGAAUUACUGGGCGUAAAGCGCGCGCAGGCGGUUUGCUAAGACCGAUGUGAAAUCCCCGGGCUCAACCUGGGAACUGCAUUGGUGACUGGCAGGCUAGAGUAUGGCAGAGGGGGGUGAGAAUUCCACGUGUAGCAGUGAAAUGCGUAGAGAUGUGGAGGAAUACCGAUGGCGAAGGCAGCCCCCUGGCAAGUCACUGACGCUCAUGCACGAAA
rnacentral:rRNA from 1 species